rnacentral:rRNA from 1 species
UACGAACUGUGCAAACGUUAUUCGGAUUCACUGGGCUUAAAGGGUGCGUAGGCGGCUUGCCAAGUAGGGUGUGAAAGCCCCCGGCUUAACCGGGGAAUUGCGCCCUAAACUGGCGAGCUGGAGUGAGAUAGGGGUGUGUGGAACUUCCGGUGGAGCGGUGAAAUGCGCAGAUAUCAGGAGGAACACCGGUGGCGAAGGCGGGUCUCUGGGCCGAUACUGACGCUGAGGAGCGAAAGCGUGGGGAGCGAACAGG